AACUCACUUCCCCUCCUCGCCUCCCCCCUUUCCCCCAAAAGAACAUACUGUAUGUUUUAUAUAACUAUACAAUAACUUACAGUUACAUAGCAAAUAAUAGCUAACAUCUCACAAAUUGAACUCUACGAAGAAUCAUAAUUUGGGUUCCUUUCUGCAACCUAGGGUUUUAUUCUCCUUCUCAUCAAGGUCAAAAAUUUGAAGAAUAAAGAUGUCAUUGAAGAAAGUACAAAGCAAGUUGAUGCAUAUUAGAUCUUAUAGCUUUCUUGGCGGUUGUGUAGGGAUGUUGUCAUUGUACAUAUGUUAUAAUUUCAUUUUCUCUCUUUUAGGAUUUGAUAGUGAGAAAGUCAUACAGUUUAGAUGUGUAUAUAUAUUCUAGUAAUGUGUUGUUUUAUAGUUCUUUCUAAUUGACAGAUUAAUUUUAUGUGAAUACAUGUGGUUAUUUAAUAUUU